rnacentral:rRNA from 1 species
UACAGAGGUCUCAAGCGUUGUUCGGAUUCAUUGGGCGUAAAGGGUGUGUAGGUGGCGCGCUAAGUCGGGUGUGAAAUUUCGGAGCUUAACUCCGAAACUGCAUUCGAUACUGGCGUGCUUGAGGACUGGAAAGGAGACUGGAAUUCAUGGUGUAGCAGUGAAAUGCGUAGAGAUCAUGAGGAAGACCAGUGGCGAAGGCGGGUCUCUGGACAGUUCCUGACACUGAGGCACGAAGGUCAGGGGAGCAAACGGG